rfam:Schistosoma curassoni strain Dakar, Senegal genome assembly, scaffold: SCTD_scaffold0003791
AUCCGGCUGACGAGUCCCAAAUAAGACGAAAUACACGUUCUGGAU